AUUCAUAAUUCACUCAGAAAUCUAAAUGGAGCUGACACUGUGAAUGAAGAUGGAACAGUUUGAUAAUGGAUGUGGGAGGUUAGAAAAACAUGAAAAUGGAGAUGGCAAAGGAGAAAAACAGCAUUAAAAACAUGUUUUGCAAAGCUAAUUGGCUCCAUAAUACCGUGUUAAUCUUCUCAGGAAUAUUCUGCAGCCCCACAAUGUGAAAUAACAUGAACACUUGUUCAAGUUUACUGUUCUGUAUUCUUUUUGUGAAUGAUGAAGGAACAUUACUAAAUACAGCAGUCUCCCAAACACUGUAGCCUCUGGACACUUGUAGCCAAUAAUAUAGGGUUUUAAUAUCUGUGCUAAAGUAAUAUAUCUUUCCUGGCACUUAAACAAUGCAACCAUAAAGUCCUCUGCCCUCGGAAGCAUGUGAAAUAAUUGAUACUGAAAAGCCGAUCUAAGUAAAAUCACUAAGAGACCAUUUAUUACUGUAUGAGUCAUGUGACAUUAGAAGCUGCACCAGGCACGCUGGGGAUUUGUGAUCAGGGAAAUCUAUAAAAAUAGAGUUUGCCAUCCACGUGACAUGUCUGCAUGCCAUGGUGUGUUGAGAGCAUGUUGAGUUGGUGAGGGGCUUUCUGAAGAAGGUCGGAGGGUCUCCUCAUCAUAGACUAGAUGUAAGCACGCUCCAGUAUGGUGACCCUUGUAAUUAUGACCUGCAAGUCCAGGUGUCACUCAUUAGGCUAUUGUCUCCAGUGCUAGGCAUUUCCUUUUUUACCCAGAAUCCUAUCCUACAUCUCUACAAACUUGUGCAGAGACAGUUAACCUGUGACCCAGAUGUGGUGUUAAAUCCACCACACGUCUUCCCAUUUCUUGGCGUGUGUGACGCUGAGAUGGUGGUCUCUGUGAUGAGUAUUCUUCCUAGAUUAACGCACAGCCUCCGAAGGGUUAACCUUGAGGAGGCUUUCUCAAGAGCUCAUGGCUUCACACCAGACACCUCUCUCUCUCUCUCUCUCUCUCUCUCUCUCUCUCUCCAUCAUCUUCCAAGCUACUCCACAAUAAUGGGAGCCUCUCCGGCAUUCUGGGAUCUUCCAGCCUGUAUGCAAAUCUCGACAUCAUCAAAGGGGUCCCCUUCAUCGCUUCAGGAGGCUCUCCAUCGUCAGGGGAAGCUCUCCACCACACUACACACCUCUGUGCCAUCGCACCGGUCCCUCUGCUAUCGCUGCAUAGCGCCAAUCUGGAGCAGAUGAUGGACGGCCUUGUCACUCUAAUGGCAGCCUGUGGCCGAUUGCCCCCCCGGACCAGCGUCUCCGAUUCAUCAGGCAGGGUCACGUCAAGCAGAGAGUUAUGGUGAACCGCAAGAUGGAUCCCUGGAGAGGCGUCUCUGGAGAAGAGAAACCAGUACUCAGGAGAUAAUGGGGAAAGACACAAGAAUGGGAGAAGCCUGCUCUGGAGCAGAAGCCAGGAGUCACCUCAGAUAAUUGCGGUGCAGCUUGGAGAUCCAUAUAAAGAGCCCUUAACUGUUAAAUGCGAAUGGAAAUCGAGCUUAAACAUGCGGCACAAAGUUAUGUGUUCAGAGGCCUAUCAAAGGGAUCCAAUCAGCAAGGCAGGGUCAUUAACUGCCACCCUGCCCCCACUGGGCAAUCUGGUGCCAUUACAUAUAAACAUUUUGGUACCAUCUACUAUAGGCUCUAUGGCAGUGCUUCUCAAACUUGGUCCUCAGGCCCCACUGCUCUGCUUGUUUUCCAGCUAUCCCUGCCCUACACACUACUGAUUACCUGGAUCAGGUGUGUUCAGUCAAUCAGAAACUGAAAGACAGCUGGGACUUGUGUGUGGGGCAGGGAUAGCUGGAAAACAAGCAGGACAGUGGGGCCCGAGGAUCGAGUUUGAGAAGCACUGAUCUAUGGCAUGUUUAAAUAGGAGGUUCCUUGAAUGAUCAAAUAUGCUGUUUCUGACAAGCACAAAUCUGCAGUGACCACCGGCAAACCUAAGAUAGCAACGGCUCACUCUACUGACGCACAGUUCAAACGUUAAAAUGAGUCAAUGAUGGGUGAAAAAUUCCCAAAAUCUUACCCAAUAUCAAUCCCCCGCACUGCUGUAAUCUCUGCUAAAUAUCAUAGUAGAGCAUUUGUCAAGCCUCCAGUUCCCAGUACACCGAAUAAUCUCUUUCAGCUGCUUCAAAGAGAGGAGAAUGUUGGCGUUUCAUACCAUAAACGUUGCGUAGGAAUAAUGAGACACGGUUUCCGAUGGAAAGAGAGCCAGAGUGACCGUCAUUAUACUCAAGAGCUUGUUAAGGGGUUUCGUUACUCUGAAGCUAAUUGAAAGAAUCUUAAUGCCUUUUUUCCCCAGAUCACCAGGUAAAGCUUUCAAAAUGCAUUUUAUGAAAAAAAUUUCAUUUGCUGUACUCCAUUUUUUCACUGUUAAAAUCAUCCAUCCAUCCAUCCAUCCAUCCAUCCAUCCAUCCUCUAAUCCCUAACCCUGUCGAAGGUCACAGGUGCUGUUAGCGUCAAUAUUAGUUCAAUCCAUCAAUACAUGUGAAACCUUUUAGAAUUGUAACAGGACCUAGAUAAUUCAAUAUAGAAUUAUACUAGAUCAAUAAAUUAACGAUCAAACACUAUUAACAUGCUGUUCUACAGUGGCAAAGGCUACGGUCUAAGGAAGUCAUAUCAUUCUUGGAACUGUUAGUCAUGAGCAUCGCCUGUGAUGUCACUGGAACAUCUUUCCAUGUAUGCCUGCAUUCAUCCAUCCAUCCAUCCCUCCAUCCAUCCAAAUUGCUUUUUCAUUACAGGGUCCCUGUGGGAACUUGUGACGUCAUCAUGCUGAUGCUCUUGAUGGUGCCUUGUGGUAUUAUGCAUGCAUGUGUUGUUUUGUUUGUGGGGACAGUGAGUAGAUGCACAGUUCCAAGGUGAAGUGACCACCUCAUACUUUCAUCACCUGCCCUAAAAAUGGAUUGAUAGCACUUUCUUCUAGGGCUUCGUUAGUGUAAAUCAUGGAACAGAAAAAAAAGACCAAGCUUACUGCCACUAAGCUGAUCAUAUCUGACUGCUGUAGUGCCACUGAGCACUUCAAUGGAGAAACAGCAUCCAUUUCUGCAGUCUAUCCCUCAUUAUGAGUGAAAUCAAUGAUAAGUUGUUUAUUUACUUUGUCAGCAAGCUUCCCUAAAUAUAAACGUGAGUUUCUGUUGCCCUGGGGAACCACUGGAUUAUUUAUUCACAGUAAUGUGUACUGGUGACUUGUACUGAUGUUGGAGCAUUGAGCAGCUUAAAAGUAGAUUUAAGAUGGGAGAUUAGUGAGUCUGGAUAAAUUGCAGGUUUUUUUGGAGGCAGAUGAGCAAUGGAGGUCAGAAGAUUUUGAGCUGUUCCACUGCCCCCAUUUUAGUAUCGUCGAAGAUUAUAAACUAUGAUGUAUUGUGAGAUGGUGAAACUGAACCCAGACAAUGGCAAGAUUAAUUUCCUAGAUCCACCUGAACCUCUUGAAGAAUAUUUGGCAUAAGAAGAACAUAGAUGUUUUGUGUCGUAUCCAGGAGAACAAAACAGACAGAUCAUAUCUCAUUUGCAUGAUAUUUUCUGCUGCACAGCUGAAUUCUUGGUUGUCUGUGGUUUUUUUUUUUGGCAGCUAUGGAAGGUCAACAGUUGCCUUGACUGCGUGUUGCUGUAUCUGUGGCAGUGAUUGAUGUGCUGAGAGGGUGUCCUGUCCACGCAGCAUCAGAGCCCCAGAGAGGCCAUUAAAAUGGGGCCUAUCUGGGGGCAGCGGCCCCAGGGCCGUCACCAGUCACAUGUUCAAAGCGCCUUAUCAGCCGAGGAAUUCCCAGCUUGUCGUUUUUUCGGACGGCCUGGAUCACGGACAGACGGAACGUCGCCGUUCCACCCCACUGCUCUCGAACGGGAUUCCUUCCAUGUCCAUCUCCGGCUCCUGUCAGAAGGGCUGCUCGUUUUCACUCUUAUUACAUUUUUUAUGAAAUUCACACCACAUACGUGUCCAAGAACAUGCCAGCCGUACAUGCACAGAGCGGCAGUGCUUUGGCUCAGCUAUGAGGGAAUCGAAACUAUUCCCACCGAACGUGCCACAUACUUGCAUCAGAGCUGCCAAAGGGAAGAAUUAUUCCUCUCGGUUGGUCUUAGGCAUUCUGCUGAUUACUGUAAUAGUAUUUCCUGUUUCUGAGCAAAAUGGGCUGCAUAUUUCAUACAUCCAUAUUUACAGUCAUGCAUUAUGAUUUAUGUGAAGCUUGUUGGAUGAAAAGUCUAAUGCUUAUGAUACAGCAGAUCUCAGACUUUUCCCUGUUCAUUUGAAAUCGUAUUUAUAUUAUGGAUCACAUAAUAAGACAAUGGUGAAUGUUUAUCGUAAAUGAGCACGGGAUGCUUACACUAUGUUCCCUAUAUGUAUUACCUCCAUUAUGCUGCUGCAGUGUUACUUAUUGUUUACAUACAUAUUGCACCACGUACAUAAUCCCUUGUGUCCAGCCCCCGUUUUGCACUGUCCUGCGUUUGGCACAUUAUGUCCUGUGAAAACCCUCCCCCUGUCACUCGCUGUCUGUAUGUUGCCCUGUGGUCGUGGAUGUGUGUAAUUUCAUGUCCCUGCAUACUUGGAUGUGGAAGGUAUGGCGAUGAAACCAGCUCUGCUUGACUCAAGGUGAUGUUUUCCUGUUUCGUUUCCGCCAAACUUCAUAGGCCUGCCUUCUACAAGCCUGCAUCGCGGUGUUUGCGCAUGUCUGUCUAAAUAAAGACUUAGCGCGACGUUCCAUGCAGACGACCAUCGGAGAGACCCAGCUAGCCGAGGCUGAAUGAUUUAUCCCCUUGUUAUUUGGCUUCUCUCAUUAUAGGAUCAUGAGCGAAAUGGCAUUUCCACCAGGGCCGACUGGGACAGGAAGUCGCCGCAGUGGAAGUCGCCCCUUUUAUCUGGAGCAUCUGUUUCCCUCUCGUGAGCUCGGUGACGGACCUCAGGGCCGAGACGUCGUUCCUUUGUUUUCUCCUCCAUCGGAAAGGUGCUUGGUCCCCUCCAGCCUUUGACCCUCCUUAUCACCGGGCCAUGGGGACAGGGAAGCUUCUCGGGAUGGACAUGUCGGCUGUUACAUGCUUAACCUUGUGUGAACAGUUCAGCACUGCAAAAAAAAAGUGUGGCUGAAUCUGUCACUAUACUGGCAGCUGACACUGAGAUUCAAGCGUCUCUGUGUAAAUUUUAUAGAUAUUAAACAAACAUUUAUAAA